AUGCUCCACGCGUACACCCCGGCUCCUUCGCGCCGUCCACACCCGCCUGACGACCGCUUGCUACGUUUUGUUAGCU
rnacentral:sRNA from 5 species